UGAGUUGUUUUGAUCCUAUGUUGGCCAACCUGGCUCACUUCUAACUAUGGCUGCAAGAGAGUAAGACACAAGUCAGAAACGCUCUCCGAGUUUUUCGUAUUUUUUCACAUCUUUGUUUCAUUUUUGUCGUGUGGAAAUCGUCAGAGACACAGAUGAAGUAAACGGACUCGGUCUUGUGUCAUGGAAGAGAAAGAACGUGUGAUGUCUAGCUCCUCCUUGUCCUGUCGUAUUAAAGACGUGUUAACACUCACUUCGAGAGAGACGAAGAUUGCAUUGACGUUUUGUAACUUGAAAGGU